rnacentral:tRNA from 1 species
GGACAUAGCUCAGUUGGUAGACUGCUUGCCUCACAUGCACAAGGUCCUGGGUUCAAUCCCCAGCACCA